GGGGCACUGCACGGGGCCAGGGUAGCGAGCCGGCUGCUGUGUGGCGCAGCACCCGCUCCUCCUCCUCCUUCUCCACCCGCAAUCCAGCGAGCCACAGCGGCGGUAUCGACCGGCCAAACUCGCCCUACCCGGCUCUCCCUGCUCGCCCUCUGCGCGUGCUCGCUCGCCCGGCUGUGGCUGCUCUAUCUUCCCCGUCCCGGACUGAGCCCGCUCUCCCUCCCCGACAGGGAAAGGCGGCAGCUGGGCCCCUUGGGUCGGGAACCGGCUUCUCGGAGCUAUUCGGGAAGACGGACAUCACGGCGAUAAACAUUUGCGGAGUGAGGGGAGAGGGAUGGGCGGAAAUGUUCCUGCUAAUCACUCAUGCCCCCCUCCCUGCCCUGGGUAAGCGAGGCACCCUCCCUUCAUCCCCUCCUUCCCGGCGCUUCUUGGCUCUCUGUAUGGAAAUCACGAGAUGGCUCGGUGGAAAAAUCUCUCUUUUCCUCGCAUAGCGGCUCCAGAGUGUGUGCUGAAUCUCAAGGUGUGUGUGGGAGGGGAAGGCAGCUCCAACAUUUAUGGAGCUUGGUGCCCCCUCACCUACAUACGUGCUGUAAGCAGACACUCGCGUUUAUGGCUAAUAAAAACGUAUUUCCCUAUGUACAGUUUGGCUGAGAGCUUGGUACUAGUAAACUGAAAGCCAGUCCGUGUCAGGGAACGGCCAGCAGAACAAGAAGCUUUGGCAUCCCUGCCUGUGAGUAAGGCACACCAUGCUUCCUGUGAUCACAGUGACCAUAUAGACUAUGUGAAGUAUAUACGUUGGACAAUAUGGAGUGACCAUCGGUAUUACACCAGCACUUGUCCGUUGUGCUACGUGUGGUCUUUAAAAGAGACUGUAAUUGCUGUUGAGCUUUUUGACCAAGAAGGUUUUUGUCUUCUCUCAAUUAUCUGUCUAAGCACUGGUGUGGGGCAUUCAGGCACAUUUGCUAUUCUGUCAGUUUUAUGUUUCCAGAAUCUGUUGCGAGAGGUUCAGCAACUGCAGAAACGCGAGAUUACCCUGACAUCACAUUGGUUUGUGCCUGUCAGCAUGUUUUUUUUAUAUGUAUACGCACACAUACAUAUAUAUAUAUUUUUUACUAAAGAAUUGUGGAGUGAUCUGAUAUUACCUAUGAUUUGGCAUGUUUUGGUUUUUGUUGUCUUUUUUCUUUGCAGCAGGGGGGAGAAAAAGACCAAUGGAAAGAUAUUAUGGUUAGUAAAGAAAAAAAUGCAGUGUUCAAGUGUAGUAGCUGUUGCAUAUGUAUGAUUCAUUAUGCAGUUAUAAACAUGCAAGGCUUACCAUCUUGCCUCUUUGCCUUAAAAUACAAUUUCUCUUACAGCAACAAGUAGCACAGGCUCCUCUUCCCCUCUUUUCUCCCCCUCCCGCCUUCAGCCGAUCCUGACAAAAUGCCAGUUACAAAGGUUUCUUGCUAGCUCUAAUGAUGUCCUAGGCUGAAUCUGUUCUGCAGCUACGUCACACUAAAGGUGGAAUCCGCUAAAACCAGCAACUGGAUGUUGUUGGAUCAAGUUUCGAACUCUGUUAAAAAAAGAAUGGCUCAAGACCAGAUGUAUGGAUCCUAAUGUUUUCCAAGCCUGGGAUUAUGCUUUUAAACUGAAGGAUUAGAGACAGAGAUUAAAAGUAUUCAAGGAAUUGCUGCCUGAUUGCCUGAAAAUCUCUAAUGGACUCUGAACUCCACCAUCUCAUGAGCACUGCAGCCAAGGGUGCAUUUGACCUUCAUGUCCCCAAAAAGGCCCUCACUGUUGGUGAGUAUGAGGUUCAGCAGAGCAUGUAUCCUUGUUGUCUCCUCUGUCACUUGGGUGAGGAAUUGUCUUCGAUGCACACCAGGAACCUCCUUGAUUGUUUAUGCCUGCUGUGUUGUCCCUCCUGUAAAUAUCAGGGUGGUUGAAGUCCUUCAUAUGGACCAGGACCUGUGAACAUGAGGCUGCUCCUACCUGUCUGUAGAGGGCCUCACCACUUGUUCUUCCUGGUCAGGCAGCUUAUAGCAGACACCCACUAUAAUGUCACCUUUACUUGCCCUCACUUUAAUUCUAACCCAUAAAUUCUCAGUUGACUCCUUGUCCAUCCCCAGGAAAAGCUCCACGCACUUCAACUGCUCUCUCACAGCAAGAACAACUCCCCUUCCUCUUUUUCCCAUCCUGUCUUUCCUCAAGAACCUGAAUCCCUCCAUUGCAAUAAGCCAUUCAUGGGGGCCAUCCCACCACAUCUCCAUGAUCCCGAUAAGACUGUAGCCUUGCAAUUGCACAGGUUGAGAAAACAGGCACAGUUGUGCACCUGGGUUUCUUAAUGUGCAUCAGUUGGACCUCCAUUCAGACACAUUAAAUCAUUCCAUCAAUUUCUUAUUUCAUACUGUUAUAUUUUAGCACAAAUCAUCUCAGUACAGUCAUUGAGACAAAUAGCACACCUUUUCAUUUCAUCUCAUUCAGUCUGUCUCCUUUCUUAUAUUUUUUAUAUUAAGAUUCAUUCCUGUAACUGUGACAUUUUAUGGAUGUUCAUCCACUUAUCAACACUUAAAUGUAUCAUUGGGAUAGGUCAAGUAGUCCUUCAUUAUAAUAGAAAGUGUAUAUAUAUUCCAAUUCCUUUUUAUCUGCUAAUGAUGUGCUACAAUUGUCUUGUAAAAUCAUAUUUGAUGCGGAUUCAGCUUACCACACUUACAUUGGGGGAAAAUCUAUUGAAAUACCCUUACAUUUGUAUGCUUCUCAUUGAUCACAGAUGUCAUGGCUUCAUAAUAAACAUCUGAAAAAAAAAAAAGUUAAUCUCUCAUAGGGGGAAAGAAAAACCAUCAGCAUUCCAAGGCAACUAAGCAGUGACAGAUUUGGGUUGUUCGUCUCAUCUUUUUUGUUUACCAUACAGUUUAAGAUAUUGAACUUUGUGAUUAAUGAUUUCCUAAAAUAUAAUCUCCUAGAAUUACCUUUCAUUGUCAGUGCAGCUGAAAACAUGAUCAUUCCUCUUAAGGAGUUACUAAGAGAAUUAUCUAUAUUUUAAAGAGACUUGAAUUCAUCACUUUCUGAUUUUUUUUUUUUCCAAUUGCCUUUUAUCUUUCUGCACUUUUUCAUUAGAAGGUAGAAUAACAUUAUCUCAGGUACCAUAAUCCAAGAAAAUAUUGCUGCAGCUUAGAUUCAUUAGGAUCAAAUAUUCUUUCUCUUUUUGUUUCAGUGAAAACUGUUACCUAUUUGUGAAAAUAAAAUAUAAAUA
rnacentral:lncRNA from 1 species